GCCCCAGUAGCUCAUCUGAUAGAGUGCAUGCCCCACACGCAGUGGCCCGGGUUCGAAUCCAGCCUGGGCCC